rnacentral:rRNA from 1 species
UACGUAGGGACCAAGCGUUGUUCGGAUUUACUGGGCGUAAAGGGCGCGUAGGCGGCUUAACAAGUCACUUGUGAAAUCUCUGGGCUUAACCCAGAACGGCCAAGUGAAACUGUUGUGCUAGAGUGCAGAAGGGGCAAUCGGAAUUCUCGGUGUAGCGGUGAAAUGCGUAGAUAUCGAGAGGAACACCAGAGGUGAAGACGGGUUGCUGGGCUGACACUGACGCUGAGGCGCGAAAGCCAGGGGAGCAAACGGG